GGGUACAAGGUUUUCCAUGUUCACAUCACCAACUACAGCAAUCAACAUGAGUUAUUGUUUUCUCUUGGGUCAUUUACAAGAGGAAAUCCUCUGAGGUGAACAAUCACUCCUGAUUUCACAAGGUAUUUUACCCAAUGAUGUCAUCAGAGACCCAGUUCUUUCCAUUUCUCAGUUUGGACAUGCCCAUGGUUGCCUUCAUCUUCAAGCAGAAAGUGAGGUGGUUACAACAGUUUCCAAAAUCGAACUGACACCAAUUAAUACCCUGAAGAAGAAUGAAGCUGUCUUCUUUUCCCCGCUAAAAAACAGUCAAGGCUCUCCUCCCAUGUCAUUUGUCCUAACUGGCUAACAUUUGUCAUUCCCUGAAUCAAUCAUAGACAAAUAAAAUGGAGAUACCAUUAUUGGCUUAAAUUAAGGAUCUUCAGACAGAAUGGAUGUUGAAAAAAGCCACUAAAUCUGCCAUAUCUAUAAAAAAAAUUAACAUUUCAGGACAAUUUCCACCUCAACUCUUCACUAGCUUUCUUAGCUAUUCUCAUGUUUAUAUUUCCCUAUACACUUUAGGAUAAGAUUCUUAAAUUUUUAAAAGAUCUUAUUUUGCUUUUGUAUGGAAUACUACUACAUGUACUAUAAUAUUCAGACAGUUGACAUCUUUAAAAUAUUGAGACAUUCAAUCCAGGAAGAAAAUAGGCUUUAUCCUUUAUUCUGGUUUUAUAAUUUAUCUUUUACUAGAAUUUUAAUAUUUUCUUUAUAUAGACUGUUAAUUUUCAUGUUACAAAGGUUUUAAUAUUUUUGUUAUUAUUAUAAACAGGAUAUUCCUCCAUCACAUAAUGUUAUUUACUAUUUGCAUAUAUAAUAACUAUUGCUUUUUUUUUUUUUUUUUUUUGAGAUGGAGUCUCACUCUUUCGACCAGGCUGGAGUGCAAUGGCACGAUCUCAGCUCACUACAACCUCGCCUCCCAGUUUCAAGCCAUUCUCCUGCCUUGGCCUUCUGAGUAGCUGGGAUUUUAACCGCAUGCCACCACGCCCAGCUAAUUUUUGUAUUUUUAAUAGAGAUGGGAUUUCACUAUGUUGGCCAGGCUGGACACGAACUCCUGACCUCAAGUGAUCCACCUGCCUUGACUUCCCAAAGUGCUUGGAUUACAGGCAUUAGCCACCAUGCCCAGCCAUCUAUUGUUUUUUAAAAAUUAAUUUUGAAAUCAGCUAUUUUACUCCAUUAUCUUGUCUUUUAUAGAUUCUUAGACAUUUCUUUUAAAUUUUCUGGGUAUAAAAUCAUAUUAUCUGCAAAUAAUUUUAAUUAUAUCAUCACAUUUUUACCUUUUAUAUUAUCCUUCUCUUUUCUAAUUAAAUUUAACAUUCUACCAGAGCAACAUUAAAUAUACUAGUAAUAUUUAUUGGAUGCUUCUGGUAUUUUACAGUUAAACACAUGAUUCCAUAUUUGUUA
rnacentral:lncRNA from 1 species